GAUGAACGCUGGCGGCGUGCCUAAUACAUGCAAGUCGAGCGAAUGGAUUGAGAGCUUGCUCUCAAGAAGUUAGCGGCGGACGGGUGAGUAACACGUGGGUAACCUGCCCAUAAGACUGGGAUAACUCCGGGAAACCGGGGCUAAUACCGGAUAAUAUUUUGAACUGCAUGGUUCGAAAUUGAAAGGCGGCUUCGGCUGUCACUUAUGGAUGGACCCGCGUCGCAUUAGGUAGUUGGUGAGGUAAAGGCUCACCAAGCCGACGAUCUUUAGCUGGUCUGAGAGGAUGAUCAGCCACACUGGGACUGAGACACGGCCCAG
rnacentral:rRNA from 1 species